GGAGAGAUGGCAGAGUGGUCUAUCGCGGCGGUCUUGAAAACCGUUGAGGCGCAAGCCUCCGGGGGUUCGAAUCCCUCUCUCUCCGCCA
rnacentral:tRNA from 1 species